rnacentral:rRNA from 1 species
GGCGGAGCUAAUCCCUUAAAGCCAUUCUCAGUUCGGAUUGUAGGCUGAAACUCGCCUACAUGAAGCUGGAGUUACUAGUAAUCGCAGAUCAGAAUGCUGCGGUGAAUGCGUUCCCGGGUCUUGUACACACCGCCCGUCACACCACGGAAGUUGGGGGCGCCCGAAGCCACUUAGCUUAACCCUUUUGGGAAGCGAGUGUCGAAGGUGAAAUCAAUAACUGGGGUGAAGUCGUAACAAGGUACC